AUUGAACGCUGGCGGCAGGCUUAACACAUGCAAGUCGAGCGAACGGCGGACGGGUGAGUAAUGACUGGGAAACUGCCUGAUGGAGGGGGACAACUACUGGAAACGGUAGAUAAUACCGCAUACAAUCAGAUGUGCCCAAAUUGGAUUAGCUAGUCGGUGGGGGAAUGGCUCACCAAGGCGACGACCCCUAGCGGGUCUGAGAGGAUUACCAGCCACACUGGAACUGAGACACGUGCCGGCCUCCAACGGGUGGCAGCAGUGGGGAAUAUUGCACAAUUGGCGCAAGCCUUAUGCAGCCAUGCCGCGUGUGUGAAGAAGGCCUUCGGGUUGUAAAGCACUUUCAGCGAGGAGGCGUUACUCGCAGAAGAAGCACCGGCUAACUCCGUGCCAGCAGCCGCGGUAAUUC
rnacentral:rRNA from 1 species